rnacentral:rRNA from 1 species
GUGCAGCAGCCGCGUUAAUACCGGCAGCCCGAGUGCUGGCCGAUAUUAUUGGGCCUAAAGCGUCCGUAGCUGGCCGAACAAGUCCGUCGGGAAAUCCACUUGCUUAACACGUGGGCGACCGGCGGAAACUGUUCGGCUUGGGGCCGGAGGACCCGAGGGGUACGUCCGGGGUAGGAGUGAAAUCCUGUAAUCCUGGACGGACCGCCGGUGGCGAAAGCGCCUCGGGAAGACGGACCCGACAGUGAGGGACGAAAGCUGGGAUCUCGAACCGGAUUAGAAACCCCAGUAGUCC